GAUUUGCAGUUGCUGCUAAGGAUGCCCUUCAAGAAAUGGUUUUUGAUGCCGAGUCAAAGUCCCUUUUGCACAUAGAGAUGGCAAAGAAAAAUCUAUUUGUU